GUGGGGAAUUUUGGACAAUGGGCGAAAGCCUGAUCCAGCCAUGCCGCGUGCAGGAUGAAGGCCUUCGGGUUGUAAACUGCUUUUGUACGGAACGAAAAGACUCCUUCUAAUAAAGGGGGUCCAUGACGGUACCGUAAGAAUAAGCACCGGCUAACUACGUGCCAGCAGCCGCGGUAAUACGUAGGGUGCAAGCGUUAAUCGGAAUUACUGGGCGUAAAGCGUGCGCAGGCGGUUAUAUAAGACAGAUGUGAAAUCCCCGGGCUCAACCUGGGAACUGCAUUUGUGACUGUAUAGCUAGAGUACGGUAGAGGGGGAUGGAAUUCCGCGUGUAGCAGUGAAAUGCGUAGAUAUGCGGAGGAACACCGAUGGCGAAGGCAAUCCCCUGGACCUGUACUGACGCUCAUGCACGAAAGCGUGGGGAGCAAACAGGAUUAGAAACCCUGGAAGUCC
rnacentral:rRNA from 1 species